CUGCAGGAACUGUUGUUGACAACAUCAUUUGCCAUCAUUAAAACAAUGAUUUCUACAUGUGUUCCCAUGCUGGAAUGAUAGGAACAACUAGGCCAACACAUUAUCAUGUUCUGCUUGAUGAGAUUGGUUUCUCAGCUCACGAUUUGCAAGAUCUGGUGCAUUCGUUAUCCUACGUCUAUCAAAGAAGCUCAACAGCCAUUUCUUUUCUCCUAUAUGCUAUGCUCAUCUAGCAGCGAAUCAGAUCGGUCAGUUCAUGAAUUUUGAUGACUUCUCUAAUACUUCUUCGAGCCAAGGUGGUGUCACUUCAUCGAGCCAACUUGAACAAAGUAGGUAUUCACUAAUCCGAGGGAGCGACCUUUCACCUUUGAGGAGAUAGAUGAAGUUCGAGAAAUAUUGGAAACUUCAUUAUCAGUGAUUGUCUUUGAUAUUUUCUUGUACUGAAUCAUAAAUUAUAGAUGCUAGUUUUUUCAUAUGAUUGUAAUGUAAUCGACUUUUAUAUUUACAAUUAUAUACUAUUUGAUUUAAUUAUCUAUAUAAUUGGAUACUUUUUCUGUGA